UACGUAGGGUGCAAGCGUUGUCCGGAAUUAUUGGGCGUAAAGAGCUCGUAGGCGGUUUGUCGCGUCGAAUGUGAAAACCCGGGGCUCAACCCCGGGCCUGCAGUCGAUACGGGCGGACUAGAGUUCGGCAGGGGAGACUGGAAUUCCUGGUGUAGCGGUGAAAUGCGCAGAUAUCAGGAGGAACACCGGUGGCGAAGGCGGGUCUCUGGGCCGAUACUGACGCUGAGGAGCGAAAGCGUGGGGAGCGAACAGG
rnacentral:rRNA from 1 species